GGGUGAAUAAGAAGUGGGAGAAGAGGAACAUCAAGAAGAUAGAGAGAGCAUAUCAGAGAGAAGCUGAGGAGGGCUAUAAGAUCGUCCACAUAGAUGGCCAGCAGGAGGGGCCAAGGAGGCCACAGGCCAUGGGCAGAGAACCAGGAGGGGAGUUCAGAGAACCAGCAGGAGUGGCCAGAGAACCAACAGGGGGGGCCAGACAGCCAGCACCUAGAAGCUCCAGAAGAGGCUGAAACAUCAGAGCCAACCUCCAAGAACAAGAAAAGGCCAYGCAUCUGGAAGAGAAUUAAGAUGGGCAUUCCUGACGUGCUGUCUGCCUAGAGCUGGAACUCGAAGAAGCCACAGUUCCACUGAGGCUACGUUGGUCAUUAAAAGUGUCGCCCAAUAAUUCUUCCUCCUCUUUAAGUCAUCAAGCCACAUUUCCUCCACAAAACAUUAUCGUCUCCUCAAGCCAGCAAGUAUCCUCUUUAUCAGGCAACAAACCAUCGAAGGUCAGUGACCCUCCUCCCCAGAGCAGAGGUUCUCAUCUUUAWCCUAAUUAAAUUCAUCUCUGCUCACCACCUCUACUGUCCUAGAAAAUAUCCCAAAAAUGGAAAUGGUUUAAACAGAAGUCCUCCCCUCAGACCAGUGGCUCCACAAACCAGAGUUUCUCAUCUUUAUUCAAGUUGAACGCAACUCUGAUCAUUUCCACCACCUCACCUGUUAAGGGGAGGUGCUGAAAAGGAGGUCUGGGAGGAGGUCUGCA